UACAGAGGGUGCGAGCGUUAAUCGGAAUUACUGGGCGUAAAGCGUGCGUAGACGGCUAUCUAAGUCGGGUGUGAAAGCCCCGGGCUCAACCUGGGAAUUGCAUUCGAGACUGAAUAGCUAGGGUACGGUAGAGGGAAGUGGAAUUUCCGGUGUAGCGGUGAAAUGCGUAGAUAUGCGGAGGAACACCGAUGGCGAAGGCAAUCCCCUGGACCUGUACUGACGCUCAUGCACGAAAGCGUGGGGAGCAAACAGG
rnacentral:rRNA from 1 species